AGAUGUACCGUAUAGCGCGAAAUUUUCGAGGGGCUUAAUUUUCGUGGAUUUCGUGGGUUAGCAAUCCUACACGAAAAUUAAGUCCACGAAAAUCGUUCUUUACCUGCUAUAACGUGCAAGAUCUAAAGGCGUGGCUUCCGGUAAGCAGUCAUUCCGCGAACAUUGUGCAACGAAAUGGCUUUUAGAGGCCAAUCCACGAAAUAUAAGUGCCUCGAAAAUUUCGCGCUAUACGGUAUUUGUUUAUAUAUCUACCUAUAUAGCUACUGAGUACUGUGCUAUUUUACCUCAUACCAACACCCACAUAACCAGGAGACUCCUGCUGCUGUAGGAGGAGGUUCUGGCUCCACCAUUGAGGAGGUAUUCGCUCGUUUUCUCAUAAAUCAGCCGCACUAGGAAUGUCCGUCUGAGCACCACUUUAGUCUAGAGGUUAUUGCACAAUAAAGAAGCUACUGAUAGAGAGGCUGUGAGCAAAGGGAAGGGCAAGGAAAACAAUGGGAUGGUAUCGAAUUGGGACAAACUAAAGACUGGAGACCAUGGACCAGCUCAUGGAAUGUGAAUGGAAUCAGAACGUGGAUAAAGAAUGGUGGUCUGGAGUACAUUGCACAAGAAUACCCAGACAUAUUCUGUGUACAAGAAACCAAGUGUAUUGAGAAAGAGCUUCCUAUGAACCAGCUCGGUAUUCCUGGCUACCACGUCUACUGGCACUCCGCAGAGAAGAGGCUACAGCGGUGUGGGGUGAGGCAUAUUCACCAACUGUUGUGUGGUUAGUUACAAGUAUUGUGCAGG